CCUACGGGGGGCAGCAGUGGGGAAUAUUGGACAAUGGGGGCAACCCUGAUCCAGCCAUGCCGCGUGUGUGAAGAAGGCCCUCGGGUUGUAAAGCACUUUCAGUGAGGAAGAACGCCUGGUGGUUAAUACCCAUCAGGAAAGACAUCACUCACAGAAGAAGCACCGGCUAACUCCGUGCCAGCAGCCGCGGUAAUACGGAGGGUGCGAGCGUUAAUCGGAAUUACUGGGCGUAAAGCGCGCGUAGGUGGCUUGAUAAGCCGGUUGUGAAAGCCCCGGGCUCAACCUGGGAACGGCAUCCGGAACUGUCAAGCUAGAGUGCAGGAGAGGAAGGUAGAAUUCCCGGUGUAGCGGUGAAAUGCGUAGAGAUCGGGAGGAAUACCAGUGGCGAAGGCGGCCUUCUGGACUGACACUGACAUUGAGGUGCGAAAGCGUGGGUAGCAAACAGGAUUAGAUACCCUUGUAGUC
rnacentral:rRNA from 1 species